GGACCAUCACGUCGGUCGUACCUCGGUACGUACUGGUAUUGUUGGUUUCUCCCUUCUGACGAACCAUGAUGUCAUUUAUUUGAUGUCGUGGAGAAUCAGGACUGUUACUUUGAAAAAAUUAGAGUGUUUAAAGCAGGCUCACGCUCGAAUACAUUAGCAUGGAAUAAUGAAAUAGGACGUUUGAUUCUAUUUUGUUGGUUUCUAGGAUUGACGUA
rnacentral:rRNA from 1 species